rnacentral:tRNA from 1 species
CGGGCCGUAGUGCAGAGGUCGUCACGCCGCCCUCUCAAGGCGGAGGACGCCGGUUCGAAUCCGGCCGGCUCGC